rnacentral:lncRNA from 1 species
UGUCGAGUUUCUCGAAACUUCUUCCUUCCAGCUGGCUUCUUUGGAUUAUUUGAAGCUAAAAUAACUUCCUCAUCAGAAUGAUUGGCUCUAUUAGGAGAGUUAUAAGUAGUAGUAUCAGAAAAUGAUGAAGAAGAUUCUAUUUGUGGGUCCGAAUAAUAGCUUCGAAAGAUAUCCAUUUUUUUUUUCUUUAAUCAGUGAUAUUUGUGAUGUUUGUUUUUGAGUGAGUUUAGAGAUUUUAAUUGUUGUGGUAAAUGUGAAAAGUUUGAUUUCUAUAUAUAGUUGAGACUAAAAAAGUUUUGAUGAUGAAAAAGAACACGGAACUUAGAGGGUGAUAAGGAGACAGGCUGUUUUAAAAAAAAGAGUGGGGCAGCUGUUUUAUAUGACAGCUGGAGUGGAGUGAGGCUGUGGUUUUAAGAAAAGUAAGUUCCAACUUCCAAAUCUUCCGUGCGUCUAACUUGGCUUAUUUUUAGUUUCUUCUAUACUUCCCUUUUGGAAUAUAUUGGUACUUAUCUUGGAAAUACUUGAGUUACUACUUACCAAUAUUGACAUUUGACAUGGACUAAAAAUAAUAAAUUUCGUGUUGUCACUUGUCAAGUCAAAUGAUACUAGAAUAAGACGGACUACUUUGGUAGGUAAAAAUAAUAAUCACGAAUGGCG